CCCACGGUGUUGUGCUUACUACAGUUAAAAACCCACGGUGCUGUGCUUCUUACAGUUAAAACCCUAAAAUCCUACGGUGUUGUGUUUAUCGCAGUUAAAAACCCACGGCGUUGUGUAUAUUCGUGCUCAUUGCAGUUAAAAACCUAAAAAUCUACGGUGUUGUGCUCAUUGCAGAUAAAAAUCCGCAAUGGUUAUUGUUGGUUUUGUGUUGUGGUUAUUGCAGUUAAAGACCCACGGCAAUGUUUAUUUGUGCUUAUUGCAGUUAAAAACCUAAAAAACCCACGGUGCUGUGUAUAUUGCAGUUAAAAACCUAUGGUGCUGCGACUAAUGCAGUUAAAAACCCACGGCGUUGUAUUUAUUACAAAAUCAGUUAAAAACCACGGAAUCAGAAAUCAGAAACCCACGGUGUUAUGUUUAUCACAGAAUCAGAAACCCACGGCGUUUUUUGUUUUUUAUUGCAGAAUUAAAAUCGCCACGGUGUUGUGUCUAUUACGGAAUCAGAAACCCACGGUGCUGUUUUUUAUUGCAGAUUAACAAACCACGGUGUUGUGUUUAUUGCAGAAUCAGAAAACCACGGUGCUGUUCUUUAUUGCAGAUUUAAAAACUCACGGUGUUGUGUUUAUUACAGAAUCAGAAACCCAAGAGCUAAAAACCCACGAUGUUGUGUUUAUUACAGAAUCAGAAACCCAAGAGCUAAAAAACCCACGGUGUUGUGUUUAUUACAGAAUCAGAAACCCAAGAGCUAAAAACCCACGGUGUUGUGUUUAUUACAGAAUCAGAAACCCAAGGCACUGUUUUUAUUGCAAAUUGCUGUAUGAUUACAGAGUAAAAAAAAAAAAAAAAAAAAAAAAAACUACAGUGCUUUAUUAAUUACAGCAAGAGAGGCCUUCGGAGUUGUGUGGGUCAGGUGUCAGAAGACAUGUCCUUUGCUGGAAAUAGCUGCUGAGCCCAAGAAGGGAUGGAGGUGGAAACGGGAACAGCUGGAGACGUGGAUAAACAACGAAGAGAAGAGAAAUAUACAAGUACCAGGCUGUGAGCGACGAAAUGUGUGACGAAAAGUCAUCACCCACACUAGAUGCAUCUGAUCCUGUUGUGGCACCACGGAACCCCGUCUUAUUGGCUGAAGUCCCGACACAUGGUGAUGACUCCUUGGCGUUGAUGCCCAGUACUGGAAGGUGCCAUCAGUAUCCUUACGGAAGCUGUGCAGAGGAUGUGCAGUGACAUCUUCACAUGGCAUUUCUGCGGCAUCUUUGCCUAUUUACAGUGCAGUGGAGAUUACCGUGUGUGGGACAUAGAGUUUUGGGGGAUCUUUACCUGAUGAUUUUCUGUCCAUUGAUCCUGACAGAUAUAUAAUACAGAGUCAGUUAUAUUAUACUAAAGCUUGUUUUGCUGAGCACUGGAGAGGUUUUUCAUCUCGGCGCCCAAUGUCCUAGGAGGAAUCCAAGUUCUGUGGACACACAGGGUUGUAUUCUCUCCCUGUGGUUAGGGACGUGGAGUUUUUUCCCUUGUCCAGCAGCAAUACAGCUAAAGAGAGACAGUUGAAGUCAUCUCGAAAUCAUUAGGGAGGAGACCUUGUACUCAUUGUUGAACAGCACACUCCCAGGGACCAGUGGAGGCUUGGGAGAGUGAUGGGGGCUAUAGGUGGUGAAGAUGGUCUCGUGAGAAUGGCCAAAGUUUUAUAAUCCUCAUCAGACCACUGUGAAGUUAUGCCUCUUGGAAGCAUCAUUAUCCAGAACGACGGGAUUAUAUGUUGCUCCACAGCGGAGCAAAGGGGGGAGUGUAGCCGCUGGUAUAUCAUGUACUUCAUAUCAGCAGCUGGUAUAUCAUAUAUUUCGUUUAUCACGUAUUCUGUAACAAUACGGAGAGGCCUGUAUGGUAUAAAUUUAUCUUCUGUGUCAUAACCGCUGGGAAGGCGACGGCGAGUACCACCGGGUCAACACAUGGUCUGCAUCAGCCGUAAGAGCUGACCUGUCAAGAAACGUGUUUGUGUGAGGGGUCGUGCCAUAGGAAGUGGUGACGGCUCUUCAGAUGAUCGAUGCUGUGAGAUAGCAAGACCGCGACCUAACUAAUGUAUAACAUGUGAAGUUGAAUGUUACUUGGCGUCGUAGCCUGUGUAUGUUUAUAGUGUGAGGGCAGUUCGAGGGGAACCUCUGUGCCGUCGAGACGCCCAUACCAUUCUGGAAUCAGACCAAUAAGCUGAUAUUCUGACUGUUCCCGCAAUGCGUUUGACCGCUACUGAAUAAACCUUGAGCGAGUGCUA